rnacentral:lncRNA from 1 species
UCUUUCCGCGGGAAUUUCGACCAUUAGAUCCCUUCGAAAGGCCGUCCUCUGGAGCAUUUUUACUCGAUACAGUUUGCCAGGACUCACGAAGAGCAGAUUCAUUUUUCCCUCCACUGCAUAGCAAAACUCUAUCGAACAUUUCCGAUCGAACGGUUGAUUCAGAAAAAACUGCAGAUUGCUUGUGACUUCUCUCCUCCAUAGCAUCGAAAUCAUCGUGAUGAACCACUCUAUCGAACAUUUCUGAUCGAACGGUUGAUUCAGAAAAAACUGCAGAUUGCUUGUUACUUCUCUCCUCCAUAGCAUCAACAUCAUCGUGAUGAACAUUUUUCUUCCCUCUUGACCCUUCAGGAGAUUGAUGUUUCCCC